AGCAGCCGCGGUAAUUCCAGCUCCAAUAGCGUAUAUUAAAGUUGUUGCAGUUGAAAAGCUCGUAGUUGAAUUUCGGGGUCAGUAGGUUGGUCGUGCCACUGGUAUGCACUGGCCUCACUGAUUCCUCCUUCCUGAUGAACCGUAAUGCCAUUAAUUUGGUGUUGCGGGGAAUCUGGACUGUUACUUUGAAAAAAUUAGAGUGUUUAAAGCAGGCUAACGCUUGAAUACAUUAGCAUGGAAUAAUGAAAUAGGACGAUCGAUCCUAUUUUGUUGGUUUCUAGGAUUGACGUAAUGAUUAAUAGGGAUAGUUGGGGGCAUUAGUAUUCAAUUGUCAGAGGUGAAAUUCUUGGAUUUAUUGAAGACUAACUACUGCGAAAGCAUUUGCCAAGGAUGUUUUCAUUAAUCAAGAACGAAAGUUAGGGGAUCGAAGACGAUCAGAUACCGUCGUAGUCUUAACCAUAAACUAUGCCGACUAGGGAUCGGAUGAUGUUAAUUUUUUAAUGACUCAUUC
rnacentral:rRNA from 1 species